rnacentral:ncRNA from 18 species
AGGUGAGGUAGAGGCGCGGGUCAUCAAGAGUAACAUGCCAGAGGUGUUAAGGGCCGAUGAAGGUGUGUGAAAGGGGUGCCCGCCGAAGCGCGUAAACUUCCUUAAGGUUUACGCAGCUGGGCCUAUGCCGAACAGGUAUAGGACUGUCACUGAAGGCUCCCCAGGCCUUCAGUGGAGAGCUAUCUCGCUA